GGCUGAACCCUCCCCUUUAGGAAGAAGAUGAAGCCAGUAAUCCAGAGAUCAUCUGGGACAUAAGUCUUCUGAUUAAAAGACUUCUUUUAGGUCAGGGAAAUGAGCCAGCUUCAAAACUCGUGAAUAUUCCACGAUUAGUCUCUAUGUCUCUUCUUCUGGAACUGAACCACCCACUGCAAAGAGGAUGUGAACAUAAACCUGCCAAUUCCAAGCCAGGUACAUGGCCACAUCUGGGUGCCCUUUGAGUCCCACAGAAGGAGCUCCUGUAGACUGGAAAAAUGACUCUGGAGUAUGUCCAUGACACCUGCGGUGAGUGGAUGUGGUUGACUUCAGCAGCUAAAGCUUGAGAGCUGAGCUUGGCACCAAGAAAACCUGUCUGCAGCUGAGCAGAGGAGCAUCAGCCAAACUCUACCUUGUCCUUUUGGAAGCAAUCAAAGAAAACAAAAAUCUCACCAAGUUUUUUUUUUUUUUUUUUUUUUUUUAAAUUAUUGCCUAUUUUGCACAUUUGUUUCAAACUGUUCAUCUGAGAGGGAGGUUGCUGCCCCUGUUUGUCUCUUGGGCUGGAGGAGAUUCUGCCUACCAGAUUCACAGUUCCGUUUGCAGUCCUCUAGAAAGGUCAUUGAUAUAUAUAUGUCUGUGUCCAUACCUCUCCAACAGUGUAAUGGCAAGGGCUGA
rnacentral:lncRNA from 1 species